rnacentral:rRNA from 1 species
AUGAGUGCGGUGAUUCAGAAGGUUCAGCUCGCCAAGAGUGGGCUGACCGAAGCCUGCAGCAGCCUUCUAACAGGAUUUGAGGCUGUGCUGCUGACCUCUGUCGCACUGACCGCGGAGGUCAAAACUUUGAAGGAAAACCUCGAGCGGUCCGAGAACAAGCUCGGCCAUGCCAAGAAGCAGCUCGAGGAAAAAGAAGGGGCCACGAAUGAGGUGGUGACCCUGAAGGAGGCGGUGGCCUCGGCCGAACGCAAUGCGGCUGCGGAGCGCACUGAGCGAGAGAAACAGGAGGCGCGGGUGGCGGAGGUACAGCAAGAGCUCCAGGAUCUCGUGAAGAAACACGAGAGCCUGGAGCGUGACUCGAAGACUUGA